CAGGCUACACAUGCAAGUCGAACGGUAGCACAGAGAGCUUGCUCUCGGGUGACGAGUGGCGGACGGGUGAGUAAUGUCUGGGAAACUGCCUGAUGGAGGGGGAUAACUACUGGAAACGGUAGCUAAUACCGCAUAACGUCGCAAGACCAAAGAGGGGGACCUUCGGGCCUCUUGCCAUCAGAUGUGCCCAGAUGGGAUUAGCUAGUAGGUGGGGUAACGGCUCACCUAGGCGACGAUCCCUAGCUGGUCUGAGAGGAUGACCAGCCACACUGGAACUGAGACACGGUCCAGACUCCUACGGGAGGCAGCAGUGGGGAAUAUUGCACAAUGGGCGCAAGCCUGAUGCAGCCAUGCCGCGUGUAUGAAGAAGGCCUUCGGGUUGUAAAGUACUUUCAGCGAGGAGGAAGGCGAUACGGUUAAUAACCGUGUCGAUUGACGUUACUCGCAGAAGAAGCACCGGCUAACUCCGUGCCAGCAGCCGCGGUAAUACGGAGGGUGCAAGCGUUAAUCGGAAUUACUGGGCGUAAAGCGCACGCAGGCGGUCUGUCAAGUCGGAUGUGAAAUCCCCGGGCUCAACCUGGGAACUGCAUUCGAAACUGGCAGGCUUGAGUCUUGUAGAGGGGGGUAGAAUUCCAGGUGUAGCGGUGAAAUGCGUAGAGAUCUGGAGGAAUACCGGUGGCGAAGGCGGCCCCCUGGACAAAGACUGACGCUCAGGUGCGAAAGCGUGGGGAGCAAACAGGAUUAGAUANCCUGGUAGUCCACGCCGUAAACGAUGUCGACUUGGAGGUUGUGCCCUUGAGGCGUGGCUUCCGGAGCUAACGCGUUAAGUC
rnacentral:rRNA from 1 species